rnacentral:rRNA from 1 species
GAUCAUGGCUCAGAUUGAACGCUGGCGGCAGGCCUAACACAUGCAAGUCGAGCGGAUGAAGAGAGCUUGCUCUCUGAUUCAGCGGCGGACGGGUGAGUAAUGCCUAGGAAUCUGCCUGAUAGUGGGGGACAACGUUUCGAAAGGAACGCUAAUACCGCAUACGUCCUACGGGAGAAAGCAGGGGACCGUCGGCCGUUCGUCGCUAUCAGAUAGAGCCGUACGGUCGGAGUUAGUCUA